rfam:Gossypium arboreum cultivar AKA8401 contig_38767_1, whole genome shotgun sequence.
AAUCCAUGGUGUGGGCAUAUCUAAAUUAGUGUUUUAAAGCAUUCCCAAGCUUCGUGAAAAUUUUCUCCUUCUAAUUGUUUAAAAAUUGCAAUCUCCCUCCUUAAUU